rnacentral:tRNA from 1 species
AAACGAUUAGCUCAGUUGGUAGAGCGAAGGACUCCUAAUCCUUAGGUCGUGGGUUCGAUUCCCACUUCGUUUGCCA